rnacentral:rRNA from 1 species
UACUUCGGGUGCGAGCGUUAAUCGGAAUUACUGGGCGUAAAGCGUGCGCAGGCGGUUCUAUAAGACAGAUGUGAAAUCCCCGGGCUCAACCUGGGAAUGGCAUUUGUGACUGUAGAGCUAGAGUACGGUAGAGGGGGAUGGAAUUCCGCGUGUAGCAGUGAAAUGCGUAGAUAUGCGGAGGAAAACCGAUGGCGAAGGCAAUCCCAUGGACCUGUAAGGACGCUCAUGCAAGAAAGCGUGGGGAGCACACAGGAUUAGAUACCAGGGUAGUCC